AUUGAACGCUGGCGGCAGGCCUAACACAUGCAAGUCGAACGGUAGCACAGAGGAGCUUGCUCCUUGGGUGACGAGUGGCGGACGGGUGAGUAAUGUCUGGGAAACUGCCCGAUGGAGGGGGAUAACUACUGGAAACGGUAGCUAAUACCGCAUAACGUCGCAAGACCAAAGAGGGGGACCUUCGGGCCUCUUGCCAUCGGAUGUGCCCAGAUGGGAUUAGCUAGUAGGUGGGGUAACGGCUCACCUAGGCGACGAUCCCUAGCUGGUCUGAGAGGAUGACCAGCCACACUGGAACUGAGACACGGUCCAGACUCCUACGGGAGGCAGCAGUGGGGAAUAUUGCACAAUGGGCGCAAGCCUGAUGCAGCCAUGCCGCGUGUAUGAAGAAGGCCUUCGGGUUGUAAAGUACUUUCAGCGAGGAGGAAGGCGUUGUGGUUAAUAACCGCAACGAUUGACGUUACUCGCAGAAGAAGCACCGGCUAACUCCGUGCCAGC
rnacentral:rRNA from 1 species